AAUGAACGCUGGCGGCAUGCCUAACACAUGCAAGUCGAACGAAGGCUUCGGCCUUAGUGGCGCACGGGUGCGUAACGCGUGGGAAUCUGCCCUUGGGUUCGGAAUAACAGUUAGAAAUGACUGCUAAUACCGGAUGAUGUCGUAAGACCAAAGAUUCAUCGCCCAAGGAUGAGCCCGCGUAGGAUUAGCUAGUUGGUGGGGUAAAGGCCUACCAAGGCGACGAUCCUUAGCUGGUCUGAGAGGAUGAUCAGCCACACUGGGACUGAGACACGGCCCAGACUCCUACGGGAGGCAGCAGUGGGGAAUAUUGGACAAUGGGCGAAAGCCUGAUCCAGCAAUGCCGCGUGAGCGAUGAAGGCCUUAGGGUUGUAAAGCUCUUUUACCCGGGAUGAUAAUGACAGUACCGGGAGAAUAAGCUCCGGCUAACUUCGUG
rnacentral:rRNA from 1 species